UCUCCGUAGGUGAACCUGCGGAGGGAUCAUUACUGAGUGAGGGCUCACGCCCGACCUCCAACCCUGUGUGAACACAUCUUGUUGCUUCGGGGGCGACCCUGCCGUUUCGACGGCGAGCGCCCCCGGAGGCCUUCAAACACUGCAUCUUUGCGUCGGAGUUUAAAACAAAUCAAACAAAACUUUCAACAACGGAUCUCUUGGUUCUGGCAUCGAUGAAGAACGAGC
rnacentral:misc_RNA from 1 species